rnacentral:rRNA from 1 species
AACGAACGCUGGCGGCAUGCUUAACACAUGCAAGUCGAACGGAAAGGCCCUGCUUUUGUGGGGUGCUCGGGUGGCGAACGGGUGAGUAACACGUGAGUAACCUGCCCUUGACUUUGGGGUGACUUCAUACAGCUGAAGGUAAUACCGGAUAGGAUCUCCUGCUUCAGGGUGGGGGUUGGAAAGUUUCGGCUGUUGGGGAUGGAAUCGCGGCUUAUGGGCUUGUUUGUGGGGUGGUGGGUGACCAAGGCGUUGACGGGUAGGCGGCCUGAGAGGGUGACCGGCCACAUUGGGACUGAGAUACGGCCCAGACUCCUACGGGAGGCAGCAGUGGGGAAUAUUGCACAAUGGGCGGAAGCCUGAUGCAGCAACGCCGCGUGCGGGAUGACGGCCUUCGGGUUGUAAACCGCUUUCGCCUGUGACGAAGCGUGAGUGACGGUAAUGGGUAAAGAAGCACCGGCUAACUACGUG